rnacentral:rRNA from 1 species
GACGAACGCUGGCGGCGUGCUUAACGCAUGCAAGUCGAACGAUGAAGCUGGAGCUUGCUCCGGUGGAUUAGUGGCGAACGGGUGAGUAACACGUGAGCAAUCUGCCCUUGACUCUGGGAUAACUGCGGGAAACUGUAGCUAAUACCGGAUACGAGACCUGAAGGCAUCCUCGGGUCUGGAAAGAAUUUCGGUCAAGGAUGAGCUCGCGGCCUAUCAGCUUGUUGGUGAGGUAAUGGCUCAGCAAGGCGACGACGGGUAGCCGGCCUGAGAGGGUGACCGGCCACACUGGGACUGAGACACGGCCCAGACUCCUACGGGAGGCAGCAGUGGGGAAUAUUGCACAAUGGGCGAAAGCCUGAUGCAGCAACGCCGCGUGAGGGAUGAAGGCCUUCGGGUUGUAAACCUCUUUUAGCAGGGAAGAAGCGAAAGUGACGGUACCUGCAGAAAAAGCACCGGCUAACUACGUGCCAGCCGCCGCCGUAA